CCUACGGGUGGCAGCAGUGAGGAAUAUUGGUCAAUGGGCGGGAGCCUGAACCAGCCAAGUAGCGUGAAGGAUGACUGCCCUACGGGUUGUAAACUUCUUUUAUAAGGGAAUAAAGUGAGCCACGUGUGCCUUUUUGUAUGUACUUUAUGAAUAAGGAUCGGCUAAAUCCGUGCCAGCAGCCGCGGUAAUACGGAGGAUCCGAGAGUUAUCCGGCUUUAUUGGGUUUAAAGGGAGCGUAGAUGGGUUGUUAAGUCAGUUGUGAAAGUUUGCGGGUCAACCGUAAAAUUGCAAGUGAGAAUUGCAGGCUUGAGGACAGCUCAGGGAGGAGGAAUUUGGGGGGU
rnacentral:rRNA from 1 species